rnacentral:rRNA from 1 species
GUCCACACCGUAAACGAUGUGUGCUAGUUGUCGGGCAGCUUUGCUGUUCGGUGACGGAGCUAACGUUUAAGCACACCGCCUGGGAAGUACGGCCGCAAGGUUAAACUCAAAGGAAUUGACGGGACCCGCACAAGCAGUGGAACAUGUCCUUUAAUUCGUAGCAACGCGAAGAACCUUACCAGGUCUUGACAUCUAGAGAACUUUCCAGAGAUGGAUUGGUGCCUUCGGGAACUCUAAGACAGGUGCUGCAUGGCUGUCGU